AGAGUGCAGGCGCAAACGGCCGCGCACCGCCCUCGGACGGCGGGGGUUUCCGGUUCGAGUCCGGAGCACUCUA
rnacentral:tRNA from 1 species